rnacentral:rRNA from 1 species
GAAAAGCGAGAGAAGGGUAUACAGGGAAUGCCUAGGCUUUUGGAGGCUACGAAGGACGCGACAAGCGGCGAAACGCUCUGGGGAG